AUUGAACGCUGGCGGCAGGCCUAACACAUGCAAGUCAAGCGGAUGACGGGAGCUUGCUCCUUGAUUCAGCGGCGGACGGGUGAGUAAUGCCUAGGAAUCUGCCUGGUAGUGGGGGACAACGUUUCGAAAGGAACGCUAAUACCGCAUACGUCCUACGGGAGAAAGCAGGGGACCUUCGGGCCUUGCGCUAUCAGAUGAGCCUAGGUCGGAUUAGCUAGUUGGUGAGGUAAUGGCUCACCAAGGCGACGAUCCGUAACUAGUCUGAGAGGAUGAUCAGUCACACUGGAACUGAGACACGGUCCAGACUCCUACGGGAGGCAGCAGUGGGGAAUAUUGGACAAUGGGCGAAAGCCUGAUCCAGCCAUGCCGCGUGUGUGAAGAAGGUCUUCGGAUUGUAAAGCACUUUAAGUUGGGAGGAAGGGCAGUAAGCUAAUACCUUGCUGUUUUGACGUUACCGACAGAAUAAGCACCGGCUAACUCUGUGCCAGCAGCCGCCGUAAGAC
rnacentral:rRNA from 1 species